rnacentral:lncRNA from 1 species
GAGAGCCACGUCCCAUCAUUUUCAGGGUGGCAAGCCGAGGCUAACAUAGCGCUGGGUGUGGUGGUUUGGAAGACAGCCAAGAAGUCAAUGAUAGUGUGGACAAGAAAGCGAACCCCCUCGCUCUUGACUGUGUCAGAGAAAUUGGGAAGAACUUAUGAGCUCCAAAGAGGAACAGGCCUGACCAGGUCCAUGAGUUGAAGAAGAAGGAGAAACCAAAAAAAGAAAAAGAAAGAGAAACCAAGAACCCAAGACAACCAAGAGAAAGGUGCAGCAGUUCCUGACCCCAGUCUGAAGCUUCCUUCAGUAAAAGACAUAUCCACUCCAGGGACCCUCGCUGGUGGAUGGGGUUGCUGGGGAAAAUGCCUUAUUAAAGCAAUGCAGUAAGAGAUA